rnacentral:rRNA from 1 species
GUAGGGUGCGAGCGUUAAUCGGAAUUACUGGGCGUAAAGCGUGCGCAGGCGGUGAUGUAAGACAGGUGUGAAAUCCCCGGGCUUAACCUGGGAACUGCAUUUGUGACUGCAUCGCUGGAGUGCGGCAGAGGGGGAUGGAAUUCCGCGUGUAGCAGUGAAAUGCGUAGAUAUGCGGAGGAACACCGAUGGCGAAGGCAAUCCCCUGGGCCUGCACUGACGCUCAUGCACGAAAGCGUGGGGAGCAAACAGGAUUAGAUACCCUGGUAGUCCACGCCCUAAACGAUGUCAACUGGUUGUUGGUCCUUCACUGGAUCAGUAACGAAGCUAACGCGUGAAGUUGACCGCCUGGGGAGUACGGCCGCAAGGUUGAA